ACCCUACCCCACAUUUCUCCUCCUACCCAACGAAACCCAGAUCGAACGUCGCCGCCGCCGCUCUCCCCUCGCCGGCCACCUCACCUCCGCUCUCUCCUCUUCCGUCCGACCUUGAUCCACCCGCUCCCUCUGGCAACUGCACCAGAACGAGCGCCGCCGCACGAGACUCGCGGAGGUGAGAGGCGCGUCUCCAACGAGGACCAGACCGUGGCCCUCGCCGCACCUUGCCGCGGGAAGUCGCCGUGCAGAGCAGCAAGAGGUAGCAGACUCGACGAGCGCACAUCCGGGCCCUUCUGGCCUUCUCCACCUCCGACUCCCUCGACAUCCGUUGCUGUUACCUUGCGGGGGCUGCAGUUUUCAGUAAAAGGGAAGGGGAGAUGCAGAAGAAAGGGGGCUCCUUUUCUGCCCUUAUUUGAUCGGCGUGCAGCUGGGUGGUUCUGGCGGCGCUAGCAUGGUCGCCAUGGCAUGCUUGUUCUCCAGCUGUUGCACAUCUACUUCCAGCUGCAACAAGGUGGUGCUGCAGUUUCGGUUGCGCCACGGCACGAGGAGCCGCGGGCUGCUACACCUCUACUAGGAGCAGGAGGGUUGCUCGAUUGGGUGCUGCUGCUUCACUAGUGUGGCGCAUCUGACCAUCGCUGCCAGCUUCUGAUGUCGCCGACAUCCUGCUAUUAGGGACAGAUCAGCCACGAUCAUUUCGCGGAUGCCUUAACCUCUACGUCAAGCGUGCCGGCUCGGCGGCUUGUCUCCGUCCUGGCUAUCUCCUCCGGCUUGCUCGUCGGGAACAAGGCUGUGCCUGGUAAAAAGGGGAGGGUAGAUUCAGAAUAAAGGGGGCUCCUUUUCUGCCCUGAUUUGAUUGGCGUUCGGCUGGGUGGUUCCGGCGGCGCUAGCAUGGUUGCCAUGGCAUGCUUGUUCUCUGGCUGUUGCACCUCUACUUCCAGCAGCAAGGUGGUGCUGUAGUUUUGGCUGCGGCAUAGCACGAGGAGCUGCGGGCUGCUACACCUCUACUUGGAGCAUGAAGGAGGGCUCGAUUGGCUGCUGCCUCUGCACUGGUUUGGCACAUCUGAACGUCGCUGGCAGCUGCUGAUGCUGCCGUUGUCCUGCUAUUAGGUGCGAACACACUCUUUUGUUUAGCAAUCACACAUGGUUGUAGUUCAUACUGGCACCUGUACUAUGAUGCUUUAAAAUAUUUUGUGUCUUGAUUAUUGUACCAGGCGUGGAUCUGCUAGUUAUUGCAUAAUUGUUUCGUCUCAGAUUGGUUCAGGAUGCUCAUUUGUUCAAGUAGCCUGAUAAAGUGAUACUUGUGAACUUAGGAACACUUACUGAUCUAGUUCCGCACACACAACAUUGCCUAUUUGCUUUAUGUGCAUAGUUAAGUGAACAGACGAGGAGGAAGGCUAAAUAAAUAUUGACUUUCUUUUGCGUGUUAAUACUAAAUAAAUAUUGAUUAUGCUAAUCAUGCACCAGUUUGAUGCGGCCCUUUAUUUUGUUUAUGUUUUUGAGAGUUAUUGAUUAGUAGUAGUAGUUUAAUUGAAGUUGGCUGUGUAUUGACUGAUUUCGCGUUGCCACACUGUUAACACCAGGGAGAGAUCAGCCAUGAUCAGUUCUUGAUUCCUUAACCUCUAUGUCGAGCUGGCCGGUUCAGUGGCUUGGCUCCGUCCUGUCUAUCUCUAAGUUUGGAUAGUAUUUUGAACUAGUACUUGUUCUGGUCCUAAAUAAAACCUUUCUCUAAGUUGUAGUUUGUACUGAUGAAGCUAAUAUUCUCGUGCAAAAAAUGUUUGCCAUUGGAGAUAUGCUAGAGAGCAAGGAAACAAGGGUUAUGACAAUGGUAUUAUCUAGGUUCCGUUUUGCUGGUGCUGUUGUGGGUGAUGACGAAGUGGCCUGGACUUGUCGGCUAUGUAAUGUGUAGCAUUCAGCCGAAGUGUGCUGUCCAAAUCAUAACUUGCAGUAAUCUUUUGGUAGAUUCCUUUGAGCAUUUUUGUAAUAUGUGGUGUUAAUCAGGCUGCAUUUUCUCUUUAAUUUAGCAUGUAACUGUUCUGAUUUGUGUAUUUAAA